UGGAGAGUUUGAUCCUGGCUCAGAGUGAACGCUGGCGGUAGGCCUAACACAUGCAAGUCGAACGGCAGCACAGUAAGAGCUUGCUCUUAUGGGUGGCGAGUGGCGGACGGGUGAGGAAUACAUCGGAAUCUACCUUUUCGUGGGGGAUAACGUAGGGAAACUUACGCUAAUACCGCAUACGACCUUCGGGUGAAAGCAGGGGACCUUCGGGCCUUGCGCGGAUAGAUGAGCCGAUGUCGGAUUAGCUAGUUGGCGGGGUAAAGGCCCACCAAGGCGACGAUCCGUAGCUGGUCUGAGAGGAUGAUCAGCCACACUGGAACUGAGACACGGUCCAGACUCCUACGGGAGGCAGCAGUGGGGAAUAUUGGACAAUGGGCGCAAGCCUGAUCCAGCCAUACCGCGUGGGUGAAGAAGGCCUUCGGGUUGUAAAGCCCUUUUGUUGGGAAAGAAAAGCAGUCGAUUAAUACUCGGUGUUCUGACGGUACCCAAAGAAUAAGCACCGGCUAACUUCGUGCCAGCAGCCGCGGU
rnacentral:rRNA from 1 species